GGGGAAUAUUGCACAAUGGGGGAAACCCUGAUGCAGCAACGCCGCGUGAGUGAUGACGGUCUUCGGAUUGUAAAGCUCUGUCCUUAGGGACGAUAAUGACGGUACCUAAGGAGGAAGCCACGGCUAACUACGUGACAGCAGCCGCGGUAAUACGUAGGUGGCAAGCGUUAUCCGGAUUUACUGGGCGUAAAGGGAGCGUAGGUGGAUAUUUAAGUGUGAUGUGAAAUACCCGGGCUUAACCUGGGUGCUGCAUUCCAAACUGGAUAUCUAGAGUGCAGGAGAGGAAAGGAGAAUUCCUAGUGUAGCGGUGAAAUGCGUAGAGAUUAGGAAGAAUACCAGUGGCGAAGGCGCCUUUCUGGACUGUAACUGACGCUGAUGCUCGAAAGUGUGGGUAUCAAAC
rnacentral:rRNA from 1 species